CGGAAAGUUUGCACUGAACCG
rnacentral:snRNA from 1 species